GAAUGGUGGUAGCUUGCACAAUUCCAGCUUGUGGUUUCAGAGUAGCCAAAGCUUCUCUUGCUGCAGUGACUUCUUUCGUUAAUCUAGCAAUAACACGGCAAGCUGCAUCGUGCUGAUACAGGGCAUGAGAUAAUUCUUGUCUAGCUGUCUGAAGUUGCUGUCUAAGCGUAAAAGAAUGCAACAUCACAGCGUCCCACUCAUCUUGCAGAAUUUUUAAUAUAGCUGGGAUGGAUGUGGCACUUGGUGGUUUAGGCUUAACUAUCGGAGUAGCUGUAAGAAAACGAUCCACUCCAUUUUCAUUCACGUACUUCUCGAUUAAACGCCUUUCGAAUAUGGAGCCCGACACAGGUGAUAUGACGGGGUGCUCCGGCACUUCAUUGGAAACUGAAAAUUUAUUUAGUUGUAGAAGACAGCGACGGCAAUGUGAAGCAUUUUAGGCUAUGUUUAGUGUUUGCCGGCAUCGGUUUCAAUAUUCUCAAAAAAAUACGAUUCAUUUCAAAUCAUUCGCUGUAAGUUAUCUACGCGAAUCUAAUAUAAAUAUAUAGUCUGUACAUCUAAUUGAAAAAUAUCAAUUAAAAGAAGAAAAACUUACUUGCACAAGAAAGCGCCAUUUUCACACAUACGAGAUGUACAUACUGACUGCGCAAGACAAUUAACUCAUUCACUACAUUCAUCAAUUUUUGUAUAAAUUUAAACAAUUUGCAUGAACAGUUGAUGAUUCGUGUAUUUCACAAGAAAACAUUUAUGAGCUGCGUUGAAAAUGCUGUGGAAUAUUUAAAUUACAAACAUAUUACAACGCGCGAGUUACAUAUAAAGUCCAAAAAAUGAAAAUACAAUGUAAAAUAACGAUAAUAAAAACUUAUUUUUCAUAAAAGACAAUAA